UGAGAAUUAUUGGUCAAUGGGCGCAAGCCUGAACCAGCCAUCCCGCGUGCAGGAAGACGGCGCUAUGCGUUGUAAACUGCUUUUCCAGGGGGAGAAACUUGCGCACGUGUUGCGCAAUUGACGGUACCCUGGGAAUAAGCAUCGGCUAACUCCGUGCCAGCAGCCGCGGUAGUACGGAGGAUGCGAGCGUUAUCCGGAUUCAUUGGGUUUAAAGGGUGCGUAGGCGGACUAUUAAGUCAGUGGUGAAAUCCUGCAGCUUAACUGCAGAACUGCCAUUGAUACUGAUAGCCUUGAGUUUGGUUAAGGUAGGCGGAAUGUGUAAUGUAGCGGUGAAAUGCUUAGAUAUUACACAGAACACCAAUUGCGUAGGCAGCUUACUGAGCCGACACUGACGCUGAGGCACGAAAGCGUGGGGAUCGAACAG
rnacentral:rRNA from 1 species